AUUAAAAAGAGGAGAGGAUGAGCUCGGGUUUGAAAAAUGCUGGAAAUGAUGGGUGGAGGGUUCAAGAAUGCUUGUAAUACAAAAGGUGAUGGAAGCCUACGUGGGACAGAUAAAUGCUUUGGCCUCGUCAUAGGUGUCCAUUGGGAUACAGGGCGAACUUGUGGGAAAUGUUCCACUAUGGGGAUGAACAUGAACCAGAUUUGAGGUUCUUUCCAACUCAGAAUCUCCUAGGAUCCUCACUCCUUUCCCCAAGCAUCCGGAACUCAGUAAACCUUCAGUGUCCACCUCACCCAUGGGAUGGGUCUGCAGCUCAGGAAUGUUCAUUGAAGACAGGUGCAGACAAGGGUUUCCUGAUCUAGUUCCAGAA